rnacentral:rRNA from 1 species
UACGGAGGGUGCAAGCGUUAUCCGGAUUCACUGGGUUUAAAGGGUGCAUAGGCGGGCAGGUAAGUCCGUGGUGAAAUCUCUGAGCUUAACUCAGAAACUGCCAUGGAUACUAUUUGUCUUGAAUGUUGUGGAGGUAAGCGGAAUAUGUCAUGUAGCGGUGAAAUGCUUAGAUAUGACAUAGAACACCCAUUGCGAAGGCAGCUUACUACACAAAUAUUGACGCUGAGGCACGAAAGCGUGGGGAUCAAACAGG